GUUGAGGCAAAAGGAGGUUAAAUUGAAAGAUUCUGCUAUUCGUAACCAUAUAUUAUCUCUCCAGAGACCAUGUUCUCUAGCUAACAGAUUAGAAAAGGUCCUGCUAAAAUGGCACACACACAAAAAUCAUAUGAGCGGAGAGUAUUUCAUCAUGAUUUCAGAUCAGGUGACCACUUUGCAGUGACUGGUGUGAAUCCAAGUGGGUUUUCCUUCUAAUUUUACAGAUGUG